UGUAUGACAAUGAUACCAUACAAUAAAUAAUGGGAUGUUUUAUUCUCAUGCAACUUUUAAAAUAAUAAUCGUCAUGAAUUGACAUAAAGUCGAGUACAUACUUUGUAUUACUCAGGCAUUCAUUAAAACCGUACAGCACACACUAUUUCCUUUGUUCCCGGUUUGGUUGGAUACCUAUUUGCUUACACGGAUCCCUUCCUGGUUUUUCGGUUUUUCUAACUGCAGUUUUCUCAGUCAGUAAUGUAAUAAUAUGAACCGUACGUACGUAUUAUUAUUAUUGUUUAUCUUGUUGUAAUGAAUAGGUCGCCACGUCUUUGAUUCGGCUGAGAAUAAUGCGUGCACUUUUAUGAGGAAUUGUAUUUUUUAAUAGUUUCAUUUCAUCCUUGAAACAAAUCAGCCUUGUUCUCAUAGACAUGCAUUCGCUAUUAAGUUAGUAGAACAUGUUAGAAUUUCGACAUGCUUUUUUUAAACCAUCAUGUGUGUCAGAAAUAAUUAGUUUACAAUACUCAAAUUAGUUGUAGGUAACAUUGAGCAUAAUCUGACCAGUAAGAAAGCAAAGUUAAUAUUCACACAAGUAACACGAUUGGCUUCGUAAUAUGACAAAUUGUAAAUCAUAACAAUUAUUUAAAUCGAACAUUAAAUAAGAGCAAGUCAAGUCAGAUCCGGUUUGACCAAGAAUUUGUGCUAUUCAAAUUCAAUACAUUCCUACUUGGCUCUGAACUUGACAAGAUUUAUACGUACAUAUUGAAAGUUUUUUUUCCCAUAUCAAUUUUGAUUUAAGCGAUUCAGGAUUCAAUUAAAGUGGCGAGGUCACCCAGAAGCGCGUUAUGAAGAAAAGUUUAAUGAGUCUACAAACUUAGUUUGUUGUUGGCUAACGGCAGCGCAAAUAAUGUUGGCGAUAGGAUCGAAAUUGUCAGUCUGACAUGUCGUGACAUUUGUUAUCUCAAUUUUCUUCGUUUCACUUAAAAUUAAAGCGAUACAGUUGUGUGUCCAUUCUAAAGAUUUGUGUAUUAUAUCAGAGACUCGAGAGAGGCGUGCUGGUAGUAACCUACCCUCAAUUUCAUGCUAAAGUUGUACACCAUGAAUAUAAUAAUGAGCACAUGAAAGUAUUCACCAUGAAAAACUUUCGUUUCUUCGUUCGUCGUUGUGUCAUGAAACAAAUUCUCACUUUUCCAAUUCCAUUAUUCAACAAUAAUAGACAAUCAAUAUUAAUAAUCGAUCGAUAUUUUAUACAUUUCAUUUACCGACGUCGACAACGACAACGACGACGCGAUUGCUAUCGGAGCAUUUCAAAAGGGGUAGGGCUGCUGUAAAAUUUAAUAAAUCUAAAACCACACUUUUUUUCCAACUCGACGUGUCCUACACAGAAAAAUAAAAUUAACGGGCUCAUUCAACUUUAUUAUACGCAUGCAUACAUAAGUUAAUAAUGAUGAUUGAAUAGUAGAAUUACACGUGUACAUUAUAUUUUGCACAUUGUAUGCUAAUUACCAGUUUUUGCAAUAAGUUAACAACACAGAUGUAGAUCAAGUCGGUCUGAAUUUUCUUGUGCUCAUCGUCCCAUCUCGGCUCAAUUCAUUCCCAACAAACACGAAUGUAAAACACGACUUUAUUUCGUAUGCAUUUCAUACAUUGUAGUUGUCCUUACUUUAUUUGUACCUUAAUGAAUGAACAUUUAUGCAAAUUUUUGUAAAACAAACGUAAUAAUUGAAGUGAAACGACUCAUGUAGCAAGUUCAUGUCCUUCUAUGUGGAUGUCCUAUAGCUCGUAGGUAUUAAAUUAACAAACUAAUGGAACAUACGUACCGCUCUUGUUAUAUUCGCACAAGUACAAACAACAGUAAUACCACAUAGUUUAGCCUGAUUUAGAUUUUUGCAACGAUUACGAGGAGCAUUACCUACCAUUAAAAAGAUGCAUAAUUGCGGUUUCACUGAUAUUCUUUUAUAAGAGGAGCAUAUUUCUACCUUUUAAAGACUUGACGUCGUGUCUCUCACUCAGGCAGACAAGAUUUUGCAUAUCCCUCCUGGCACCACCAAUCUGCAAGAAGUGACUUACGGAUAAAUUGUAUUCUCUUCUUGCUGCGUGAGAUCACAAUGAACUAAAAAGUGCAGCAAUCUUAUACUCGUCGAUGCAAAUUAUAACAGUUGAAAAUGGAACAAUAAUAAAUAAACCUGAAUUAAAACAUCACGAAUAAUAAAUUUCUUCUGCAGGGGCUGUAAUCUUAAUGUCGAGUGGGACUCGGCGACGGAGAUUGAGAUUUUUAUUACUUAUAUUAUUGCAAUGAUCUCUUUUUGAAUGGAAAUGUAUCAUAGAAAUCAAGACGUAAUAAAAUGCGGUGUCGGAACAAAGACGAUUUUUCCACUGUCA